ensembl:snRNA U4 U4 spliceosomal RNA
AUCAUUUUACCAGACAUAGCCAAUGAAGUUAAUCUGAGGUAUGAUUGUUGCUAAAUGAAAACUUUUCCCAAUACCCCACCAUGACGACUUGAGGUAUAGUCGGCAUUGGCAAUUUUUGGCAGGCUCUACAGGGA